rnacentral:rRNA from 1 species
AACGAACGCUGGCGGCAGGCUUAACACAUGCAAGUCGAACGCCCCGCAAGGGGAGUGGCAGACGGGUGAGUAACGCGUGGGAAUCUACCGUACCCUACGGAAUAACGCAUGGAAACGUGUGCUAAUACCGUAUACGCCCUACGGGGGAAAGAUUUAUCGGGGCAUGAUGAGCCCGCGUUGGAUUAGCUAGUUGGUGGGGUAAAGGCCUACCAAGGCGACGAUCCAUAGCUGGUCUGAGAGGAUGAUCAGCCACAUUGGGACUGAGACACGGCCCAAACUCCUACGGGAGGCAGCAGUGGGGAAUAUUGGACAAUGGGCGCAAGCCUGAUCCAGCCAUGCCGCGUGAGUGAUGAAGGUCUUAGGAUUGUAAAGCUCUUUCACCGGAGAAGAUAAUGACGGUAUCCGAAGAAGAAGCCCCGGCUAACUUCGUGCCAGCCGCCGCAGUAACAC